rnacentral:rRNA from 1 species
CCUACGGGAGGCAGCAGUGAGGAAUAUUGGUCAAUGGGCGUAAGCCUGAACCAGCCAAGUCGCGUGAGGGAUUAAGGUUCUAUGGAUCGUAAACCUCUUUUAUAAGGGAAUAAAGUGCGGGACGUGUCCCGUUUUGUAUGUACCUUAUGAAUAAGGAUCGGCUAACUCCGUGCCAGCAGCCGCGGUAAUACGGAGGAUCCGAGCGUUAUCCGGAUUUAUUGGGUUUAAAGGGUGCGUAGGCGGCCUUUUAAGUCAGCGGGUAAAGUUUGUGGCUCAACCAUCGUAUGGCCGUUGAAACUGGGGGUCUUGAGUAUGUGUGAGGCAGGCGGAAUGCGUGGUGUAGCGGUGAAAUGCUUAGAUAUCACGCAGAACCCCGAUUGCGAAGGCAGCCUGCC